ensembl:lncRNA
GGAUUAUAAACAAUAUAUAUGUGACACAGCAAAAUAAGGAAAAGUUAAUGGAUGUAAUUACUGGAGAGAGCAUUCCAGGUAUUCAAGGUGGUGGUGUUUAGGGAAGAAGGCCUAUUUCAACUUGCAUGGGAAAAACACUUCCCCAUUAGCAUCUGCAGAUGGCCCCAAACCUGCAUGCAAGCCCACAGCUCACCAGGUCUGGGCUCUCAUUCAGGUUGAUUUUCUCAAUGAUGCAUUGAGUGUUAGGCAACGCAUAAUAUACAGCUAAGAACCAGUCUGUUGCUUAACACUCAAUGUUUUGGGUUUUUUUUUUCCCAUUACCUCCCCAGUACAUGAAAAUCCUAUUGAAGAAGCAGAAAAAAAAAAAACUAAAGGAAGAACAAAAACCAUGAAGUAGGUGUAGAGGCUCCUGGACAGGGAAGCUGCAGCCCCUGAGGCAUGAAGCACCUCAGCCAGCUGGCAGAUGGAGAUGUUUUCAGGCAGUGAAACCAGAUCCUGUGAGAAGUGUGGGUCUCGCUUAGCCCUGCAGGCAAUUAGACCUCUGCUUUCAGCACAGUGUUUCCUUCCAAAAACAUGGAGCAGUCAAUGCAGUUGGCAUUUUCUCCCAAAGCGCCACGUACCUCCUGUGAAUGAUGGGACAGAUUGCUGCCGGCUCACAAUGGCACCCUGGGUCUCGGAGCUCCUGCUGGCUCUUUGUUUGCUCUGGAAAUAAUUCUUUUUUCCACCAGGAGAGGUAGGUAAUGGUGCUGGUGAUGGUGCUGGGGAUGAGCCAGACUGUGGCCUGCCACCAGAGAGCUGCAAGUGAUGCUUAACCCUGCACCAGAAAAAUGGGGCCAAAUGAUUGUUACCAAAGACCCUCAGCCCAGGAAUGUGUGUGUUCAGGCUGCCGUUACCUUAUAGUCAUCAUAAAGGGCAGGAGGAAGUAUUGUGAAAGUCCUCACAUGGCUACUUGUGACCUAGAGUGGCUUGGUUCACUAUGACAAAGAUCAAGUAUUUUAGUAUAAGUCACUGUAAUUAGUGCCCAGUGGUUUUAGGAGCUCAUUUCCAGCCCUGGCAAACAAUCAGCAGUCACUGGGGCUUGGUGUAUGGGGAGGAUGGUGGGAAUUCAUCUUGCUUUGCCUUCAGUAUGAGGAUAUUAUCAGCUCCCGCUCUACAGAGUGAGGAGUUUCUCACAAAUUUCUCUGUUAUUAUUAGCAUUGCUCUUAGUUAACUGGCACAUUGAGUACUUAAGGACAGGUGGAGUUGACUCUCUCUUUUCCUUAGGUCUGGGAACAGAAAUAAAGUCAUGUUUUAGCUGUCACAUUCAUACCUUUAUUUCUUAUGUUCAGCACCUGGACAAUGUUGAGUACGAGGUAUUUAGUUAUUAAUAUAUUAAAUAACUGUUCGGUCUUCUUCCGGCACUUCAGCAUUUUUAUAUCACAAAUUAAAUCUCCCUUAGGAAUUUUCUUAGCUAAGCCUCUGCCCUUUACACCCAACAUUUUUGGAAAAUGAAAAUGUCUGGGAGGAGAGGAAGUCCAAAUGCAUUCACCAGAAUUGGUCGUGGUGUGACUUCUUGGUGAUUAAAGGCAAACUAAAAAAUAACCAGUUACCAAAGAGCCCGUACUUUUAAAGAGAAAAUUAUGUUCUGGGGAAAAUUUGAACAUUUUUAAGAAUUUAGGGAAACGGGCAAAAUCAGAGACUUUUCCACCAAAUGCAUCUUAUUGUGUAUGUGGAAGUAUCUGCAGCUGGCACAUCUCAGCUGGAGCAUUCCUCCUGUUUGCUCUGCCCUCCCCCCCAGUCCAGACUGCGCAGCACUGGCUUAGCUGAUGCUCACACAUUUCCACCAUGCUUAUUCUGAUUUAUGUUAUUGUUGUCACUUUCAGAUACGCGUUGCCUGCAAGGCAAUUAGACAAAAAUGUCUUACUUGGAGCCAAGCACUACAUUUAUGGUGCUGUAUCUCACACUACAGAAAAUAAAUGGAAAAGGACUGUACUAAAAGAUCUUAUGGUAUUUUAUACAACACAUAGAGGGAGAACUGCCUCCACUGCAACCAUGUUAAGAAGAGGGCAGCUUCAUUAAACAUCCAAGUAGAUGAACAAAUAUAUUUAAAAGCUGUCUCUUGUGUAACGUGAAAUUAAGUGAAUGCAAUUUUUUUUUUUUUUUUUUUUGCCAAUUACUUGUCACAGUGUCUCUUGUAGGACUUCUCUGAAUCAAAAUGGCUCGCAGGCCCAAUGACAGCAGCUGGAAACUGCAACAAUGGGGAUCUCCAUCAGUAACAUUGCAAUGGAUCUCCAAGCUCUGCUACAUCAGCUUGAAAGCUGUGCAAGAUCUGUAGUAUGCAGCAAACAUGAGGAAACGUCUAUGAGUACUCUUGAGGGGAAAUGUGUAUGUAAGGCUCUUUGGGCACUAACCAAAAUCAUAUUAUUUUUCAGCAAAGUUUACAUUGCUUUUUCAUACACAAAACCCAGUGUUUGGAAAACUCAUUUUCCUAAAUUGCUUUCUCUGAAGGAAGGCAUCAUAUAGUGGUUUAUACAGCAUUGGGCAAAAAUUAUUUUUAAGGAUCAGGUCACUAUGGUAACCACUUCUUAUCUCAGAAUCAAAAAGCAGUUAUGAUUGUAAUUAAAAAAUGUAUGCUGCCUACCAAGAAUUAUUCUGAAUUAUAAUUCAUUUUCUGUCGCAUAUUUGAGUUAUUUAUAUUGUUCCCAAAGGCAUUGCCUUUUAUUAUAA